rnacentral:rRNA from 1 species
AUUGAACGCUGGCGGCAGGCCUAACACAUGCAAGUCGAACGAGUGGCGGACGGGUGAGUAAUGUCUGGGAAACUGCCCGAUGGAGGGGGAUAACUACUGGAAAAGGUAGCUAAUACAGCAUAUCAUAGGAUGUGCCCAGAUGGGAGUAGCGAGUAGGUGGGGUAAUGGCUCACUUAGGCGACGAUCCCUAGAUGGUCUGAGAGGAUGACCAGCCACACUGGAACUGAGACACGGUCCAGACGCCUACGGGAGGCAGCAGUGGGGAAUAUUGCACAAUGGGCGCAAGCCGGAUGCAGCCAUGCCGCGUGUAUGAAGAAGGCUUUCGGGUUGUAAAGUACUUUCAGCGAGGAGGCGUUACUCGCAGAAGAAGCACCGGCUAACUCCGUGCCAGCAGCCGCGGUAAUUC